AUUGAACGCUGGCGGCAGGCCUAACACAUGCAAGUCGAACGAGUGGCGGACGGUUGAGUAAUGUCUGGGAAACUGCCUGAUGGAGGGGGAUAACUACUGGAAACGGUAGCUAAUACCGCAUACCAUCAGAUGUGCCCAGAUGGGAUUAGCUAGUAGGUGGGGUAACGGCUCACCUAGGCGACGAUCCCUAGCUGGUCUGAGAGGAUGACCAGCCCAACUGGAACUUGGAAACGGUCCGGCCUCCAAGGGAAGGCAGCAGAGGGGAAUAUUGCACAAUCGGCGCAAGCCUGAUACAGCCAUGCCGCGUGUAUGAAGAAGGCCUUCGGGUUGUAAAGAACUUUAAGCGGGGAGGCAUUACCCGCAGAAGAAGCACCGGCUAACUCCGUGCCAGCAGCCGCGGUGAUAC
rnacentral:rRNA from 1 species